UACGUAGGGGGCGAGCGUUAUCCGGAAUUCCUGGGCGUAAAGCGCACGCAGGCGGUUCGCCAAGUUUGGAGUGACAGUUGUCGGCUCAACCGACAAAGGACUUCAAAAACUGGUGAACUUGAGGACGAGAGAGGAACAUGGAACUCCAGGUGUAGUAGUGAAAUGCGUAGAUAUCUGGAAGAACACCAAUGGCGAAGGCAAUGUUCUGGCUCGUUUCUGACGCUCAGGUGCGAAAGCCAGGGGAGCGAACGGG
rnacentral:rRNA from 1 species